rnacentral:rRNA from 1 species
GACGAACGCUGGCGGCGUGCCUAAUACAUGCAAGUUGAGCGCUGAAGGCUGGUACUUGUACCAACUGGAUGAGCAGCGAACGGGUGAGUAAUGCGUGGGGAAUCUGCCUUUGAGCGGGGGACAACAUUUGGAAACGAAUGCUAAUACCGCAUAAAAACUUUAAACACAAGCUUUAAGUUUGAAAGAUGCAAUUGCAUCACUCAAAGAUGAUCCCGCGUUGUAUUAGCUAGUUGGUGAGGUAAAGGCUCACCAAGGCGAUGAUACAUAGCCGACCUGAGAGGGUGAUCGGCCACAUUGGGACUGGGACACGGCCCAAACUCCUACGGGAGGCAGCAGUAGGGAAUCUUCGGCAAUGGACGAAAGUCUGACCGGGCAACGCCGCGUGAGUGAAGAAGGUUUUCGGGUCGUAAAACUCUGUUGGUAGGGAAGAACGUUGGUGAGAGUGGAAAGCUCAUCAAGUGACGGUAACUACCCAGAAAGGGACGGCUAACUACGUG